AUUGAACGCUGGCGGCAGGCCUAACACAUGCAAGUCGAGCGGAUGAAGGGAGCUUGCUCCUGGAUUCAGCGGCGGACGGGUGAGUAAUGCCUAGGAAUCUGCCUGGUAGUGGGGGAUAACGUCCGGAAACGGGCGCUAAUACCGCGUACGUCCUGAGGGAGAAAGUGGGGGAUCUUCGGACCUCACGCUAUCAGAUGAGCCUAGGUCGGAUUAGCUAGUUGGUGGGGUAAAGGCCUACCAAGGCGACGAUCCGUAACUGGUCUGAGAGGAUGAUCAGUCACACUGGAACUGAGACACGGUCCAGACUCCUACGGGAGGCAGCAGUGGGGAAUAUUGGAUAAUGGGCGAAAGCCUGAUCCAGCCAUGCCGCGUGUGUGAAGAAGGUCUUCGGAUUGUAAAGCACUUUAAGUUGGGAGGAAGGGCAGUAAGUUAAUACCUUGCUGUUUUGACGUUACCAACAGAAUAAGCACCGGCUAACUUCGUG
rnacentral:rRNA from 1 species